GCGACAGGCUUAACACAUGCAAGUCGAGGGGCAUCAUGAGGUAGCAAUACCUUGAUGGCGACCGGCGCACGGGUGAGUAACGCGUAUGCAACCUGGCUGAUACAGGGGGAUAGCCCAUGGAAACGUGGAUUAACACCCCAUAAUAUUAUUUGAAGGCAUCUUUUAAUAAUUAAAUCAUUCGAGGUAUCAGAUGGGCAUGCGUCCUAUUAGCUAGUUGGGGGGGUAACGGCCCACCAAGGCAAUGAUAGGUAGGGGUUCUGAGAGGAAGGUCCCCCACAUUGGAACUGAGACACGGUCCAAACUCCUACGGGAGGCAGCAGUGAGGAAUAUUGGUCAAUGGGCGCAGGCCUGAACCAGCCAAGUCGCGUGAGGGAAGACUGCCCUAUGGGUUGUAAACCUCUUUUAUAAGGGAAGAAUAAUGACUACGUGUAGUCAGAUGCCCGUACCUUAUGAAUAAGCAUCGGCUAACUCCGUGCCAGCAGCCGCGGUAAUACGGAGGAUGCGAGCGUUAUCCGGAUUUAUUGUGUUUAAAGGGUGCGUAGGCGGUAUUUUAAGUUAGUGGUAAAACGUCGGGGCUUCACCUUGAUUGGCCAUUAAAACUGGAGUACUAGAGUAACAGACGAGGUAGGCGGAAUAAGUUAAGUAGCGGUGAAAUGCUUAGAUAUAACUUAGAACACCAGUGGCGAAAGGCGGCUUACCAGACUGUUACUGACGCUGAGGCGCGAAAGCGUGGGUAGCGAACAGGAUUAGAUACCCUGGUAGUCCACUCCGUAAACGAUGAGUGCUAAGUGUUGGGGGUCGAACCUCAGUGCUGAAGUUAACGCAUUAAGCACUCCGCCUGGGGAGUACGGUCGCAAGACUGGAACUCAAAGGAAUUGACGGGGACCCGCACAAGCGGUGGAGCAUGUGGUUUAAUUCGAAGCAACGCGAAGAACCUUACCAGGUCUUGACAUACCAUUGACGCCUCUAGAGAUAGAGGGUUCCCUUCGGGGACAAUGGAUACAGGUGGUGCAUGGUUGUCGUCAGUUCGUGUCGUGAGAUGUUGGGUUAAGUCCCGCAACGAGCGCAACCCCUGUCGUUAGUUGCCAGCAGUGAGAUGGGGACUCUAACGAGACUGCCAGUGACAAACUGGAGGAAGGUGGGGAUGACGUCAAAUCAUCAUGCCCCUUAUGACCUGGGCUACACACGUGCUACAAUGGUUGGUACAAAGAGAAGCGAAGCGGUGACGUGGAGCAAACCUCAUAAAGCCAAUCUCAGUUCGGAUUGUAGGCUGCAACUCGCCUACAUGAAGUUGGAAUCGCUAGUAAUCGCGAAUCAGAAUGUCGCGGUGAAUACGUUCCCGGGUCUUGU
rnacentral:rRNA from 1 species